GGCAGGAUGGCAUGUCAGAGGUGCACAUUGAUAGAAAUGCUGCUUGCCUGGCGGAGGCCAGGAGGCACAUGGUAAAGUGUGGGCCAGGGAGCAAGAGACACCCUCCCAGGUCACACCCGCGCUGACCCACCUCUUCCGACCAGGCCCACAUCCUGACACCAAGCCUGGCGUAGCACCCCCAUCACCCAGUCACCCUCUGGAAGCCCUCACCUCUGGGUGCAAGGGGCUUGAGGGGGGACAUCCAGAUAGAAUCCAUGACCUGCAGUUUCCAUAAAAGGAUGCAAUUUCUGAUAAGUGAUCUAGGAGUGUUAUAAGCAAUCUAUGACAUAUUUAGAGCAUAAAACCUUACAAUUUAUUGGAGACAAUUUUCUUUUCAGUAAUGCACGUUAUGAUGGACAGAAUGGGAGUUAGUACUGAUGAUGAGUCUUUAUUUUAAUGUUUUGCUCCAAUGCCCUGUUUUGUUUGCAGUAGUAGUUUGGUCCUUGAAGUAUUUAUAACUGUGGAAUGAGUGCACAGAUGGGUUUCUGAACUGUGUUUCUUUCCUCAUUUCUCUUUUGGUCACUUGUACCUGCAUCAGCAGUAGAUAUGAAUUUCACAGAAGCAUUGAAUAGUGAUAAUCAAGAAUAGUGUGGCUAUCAGGGCUAUUUCAGCUUAGGUGAUCUCAGACCGAAUCAGGUGUGGAUGUCAAGGAUGUGUGUACGUGACAUGUGUUUCACACCUAAAUGUUUGAAUUAGAAAUGCAACAAAGAAUGGAAGCUGGGACUGUAUUGGGGGGAGGAUUUAGGCAACGUAAUGUCUGAGGAAGAGGGUGGGAUGUGUACGUUUAUGGCCAGGGACAGUUGGAACCCUGUAACAGACACUUUUUGUCACGCACAGUUGUAGGAACAUCGCAGCUUAUUUUGGGAGAACACCUCCACCUUCAACCCAAGACCUCCAUUGUGCACAUUUGGGAGGGGAUUUUGUUUGGAUUAAACCCAAUGAGGAUAGUCAUUUCCAUGGUUAUACAGGUUGGUUUUGAAUAAAUCCUUUACACAAACCCAAUCAGAACAAACGUGAAGAAUGUCAUUUGAAAUGAUGGAAAUGAGAGCCUUCUCAUCUUGGGAAAUCAUCUGUGAGCUGCUACGGCCCGAGGGAAGCCUGGAAUAGAUAAGAGAAGUUGAAAAGGAUGCAUAUGCUGCUGUUGGGAUGGGAGAGCCCAAUGCCUGUUGUGCCUACGAGGAAGAAAAGGAGCAAGCUAAAGUGGGCUGACUAAGGCUGAAGAACCUCUGCUAGGACCCUUGCCAUGGCUGAAGAGAAAGGCUGAGGCAACGGAUGGACACGGGUAUGAAUGGCCAAAGACUUUUGCCAUGGAGACGACCGGGUCCUGAGCAGACAGCAAGCAAUAUUGUCAGUGUCUUGAGAUCAGCAAAGCAGCAGAGGUCUUGGGGCAGAAGGACUGCAGCUUGCAGACUAAGACAGCCCUACGCACCAGUGAGGUCACAAUGGGCCGCCCUUGCUAGCUGGGGAAGAAAUCCCACGAGGACAGGACGUGACUGGGCGCUGUGUGGUGGCUGAGCAGCAGGGGAGUCAGGCCCUCCCAGAGACCGAUCGAGCCUUCCUAGAGCUCGUGGAAGGCUCAGGACCCCACGGGUCUUGCCAGGUCAGGAGCUCUAGUGUGGCUCAGGUGGGCCCACACCCUCAGGCCGAGGUGGGCACAGGUGCGGCCGGGAAGCUGCCGGGGCCUUGUGGAGAGCGUCGGACACAGGCAGAGCCACUCCUGCACCCACACAACGUACUGUUUUUGACCACACACCUGGGGCAGGGGCCUAGACCCGUCCAGGACUCACCGGGGGCUGCCCCACCGCGUCUCCAGAACCUCCCCAAGAGCCAAGGUUGGACCUGCCCCCGAGAGGUGUCACUCACGUGCCGUGCAGGUGUCAAGGGCAGGACCUCGAGGGGAGUGACUUGGUCACCGAGACACGCUUACGGGGCGCACACAAGUUAACCGAGGAGAGGUUUAUCUCGGCUCGCACUUGGGAGAGGUUUCAGUCCCUAGUCAGCAGCUCAAAGGCAGCGCGGCAUGGCGGAGGGGCCUGGCAGACAGAAAGCAGAGUCCAGGGAGCAGAGGCAGCGAGAUGAAGGCUCCCAGGCCCUGAACCAGGCGAUUUCUCUCAGCCCAGAUCCCACCUCCUGUCAACCCAGGUGUACCACGCCCAUGAGGCAAUCACCUCCCAGAGGCGGCUUGUGAGUGCGUGAGGCUGUGCGGACAGGUAGCUCUAAACUGUCCCCAAGGGAGAGGGAUGGGAGGGCGACUUGGGGGGCAGGAGGAGGGGCACCCAUCCCUGCAGGUCAGCUUCCCAAGCUGGAGCUCUCUCCUCCCGGGACCAGAGCAGGCGGGGCGUGCAGUGACACCGAGCGGCCACCGGAGGGCAGCAGAGCCCUGUGCUGAGAUCACGCGCUGAGGUUGCCAGGGGCCCCAGCUCUGCCAGGAUUGUAUGAGGAUGCCUAGCAUAAAGAGAAUAUGUUCGUAUAU
ensembl:lncRNA